GCUCCAGUUCCUCUGUACUCUGUGAUAUUGGUUCAAAAGCCUUUUUAUUUAUCGUAGAUGAGCAUUAAAUCUUCACCAUCAGGUACCGUGAAGUCUGCAUUUUAAAGAGAAACUAAAUGAGACUGACCCGAGGUCACAGUCUGGCUUUAUCCUUUGAUCACACACCUUUAAACAUUUCUUGAAGCUCGAGCAUUUCUCUCAUUAGCUGGAUGGAGUUCACCUUUACUUCUGGCAUGCAUACUGAGCAGGCUGCUCUCCGCAGAGCCGCUAAAUGUGUUUACUCUCCGCGGACCCUCCAUCCACAGACUUUCUGACAGCUGCACGCUGCGUUUGGCUCCCGGGCUGCUUCGCAAUGACGAGACCAUGUCGCAGAAUAAUUGGAAAAUCGGGAAACAAACUGUGACAAGAAAAUCCUGGGGUGUGUAGUUGUUCCACAAGUGUGUAAAAUUAGCGUUCUGUGAGGUUUUGAUGGUUUUGCAUAUGUUGUUUCUCUGCAACGGGAGGAG